rnacentral:rRNA from 2 species
GCAAUCUAUACGGUGAAACUGCGAAUGGCUCAUUAAAUCAGUUAUCGUUUAUUUGAUACCUACCUUGCUACAUGGAUACCUGUGGUAAUUCUAGAGCUAAUACAUGCUGAAAACCCCGACUUCGGAAGGGGUGUAUUUAUUAGAUAAAAAACCAAUGCCCUUCGGGGCUCCUUGGUGAUUCAUAAUAACUUCACGAAUCGCAUGGCCUUGCGCCGGCGAUGGUUCAUUCAAAUUUCUGCCCUAUCAACUUUCGAUGGUAGGAUAGUGGCCUACCAUGGUGGCAACGGGUAACGGGGAAUUAGGGUUCGAUUCCGGAGAGGGAGCCUGAGAAACGGCUACCACAUCCAAGGAAGGCAGCAGGCGCGCAAAUUACCCAAUCCCGACACGGGGAGGUAGUGACAAUAAAUACUGAUACAGGGCUCUUUUGGGUCUUGUAAUCGGAAUGAGUACAAUCUAAAUCCCUUAACGAGGAACAAUUGGAGGGCAAGUCUGGUGCCAGCAGCCGCGGUAAUUCCAGCUCCAAUAGCGUAUAUUAAAGUUGUUGCAGUUAAAAAGCUCGUAGUUGAACCUUGGGUCUGGCUGGCCGGUCCGCCUCACCGCGAGUACUGGUCCGGCUGGACCUUUCCUUCUGGGGAACCCCAUGGCCUUCACUGGCCGUGGCGGGGAACCAGGACUUUUACUGUGAAAAAAUUAGAGUGUUCAAAGCAGGCCUUUGCUCGAAUACAUUAGCAUGGAAUAAUAGAAUAGGACGUGUGGUUCUAUUUUGUUGGUUUCUAGGACCGCCGUAAUGAUUAAUAGGGAUAGUCGGGGGCGUCAGUAUUCAGCUGUCAGAGGUGAAAUUCUUGGAUUUGCUGAAGACUAACUACUGCGAAAGCAUUCGCCAAGGAUGUUUUCAUUAAUCAGGGAACGAAAGUUAGGGGAUCGAAGACGAUCAGAUACCGUCGUAGUCUUAACCAUAAACUAUGCCGACUAGGGAUCGGACGGUGUUUCUAUUAUGACCCGUUCGGCACCUUACGAGAAAUCAAAGUUUUUGGGUUCUGGGGGGAGUAUGGUCGCAAGGCUGAAACUUAAAGAAAUUGACGGAAGGGCACCACAAGGCGUAAACCAUUAUUGCUUCUGCCAGCCGCAGCAACUCUGCGCCGAACAGCAGCCCGAAAGGGUGAUGUGGUGAUCCUCUAAACAGUAAAUGCUAGUCCGGAUCUCUCUGGGCGACACACUCAAAUUGCGGGAAACCCCUUAAGCUGUCAGCUACCAAGCCACUGAUUCGAAAGACAGUGGUGGCCAGGUUAAUUGCCUCGGGUAUGGUUACAACGCUGAUAGAUUGGGCAAUCCGCAGCCAAGCCCCUACAGUCCUCUCUGAGGAUAUGGGGAAGGUUCAGAGACUAGAUGGGUGUGGGUUGGUUGGGUGGUCGACCAGCUUAAGAUAUAGUCCGGCGUGGGAAGAAAUUCCAACGGUUCAGGCAUAAAUACCCUGCGACUUUAACUGGGAGCCUGCGGCUUAAUUUGACUCAACACGGGGAAACUCACCAGGUCCAGACAAAAUAAGGAUUGACAGAUUGAGAGCUCUUUCUUGAUCUUUUGGAUGGUGGUGCAUGGCCGUUCUUAGUUGGUGGAGUGAUUUGUCUGCUUAAUUGCGAUAACGAACGAGACCUCGGCCCUUAAAUAGCCCGGUCCGCGUUUGCGGGCCGCUGGCUUCUUAGGGGGA